rnacentral:rRNA from 1 species
UACGUAGGGUGCAAGCGUUGUCCGGAAUCAUUGGGCGUAAAGCGCGCGUAGGUGGCCCGAUAAGUCCGCUGUAAAAGUCAACGGCUCAACUGUUGAAAGCCGGUGGAUACUGUCGGGCUAGAGUACGGAAGAGGCAAGUGGAAUUCCUGGUGUAGCGGUGGAAUGCGCAGAUAUCAGGAGGAACACCGGUGGCGAAGGCGGCAUCCUGGACCGGUAUUGACGCUGAGGCGCGAAAGCUAGGGGAGCAAACGGG